rnacentral:tRNA from 1 species
GGCCCAGUAGUUCAANUGGAUAGAAUAUCAGAUUUCGGCUCUGAGGGUUGGGGGUUCGAAUCCUCCCUGGGUCACAA